AUUGAACGCUGGCGGCAGGCUUAACACAUGCAAGUCGAGCGAGCGGCGGACGGGUGAGUAAUGUCUGGGAAACUGCCUGAUGGAGGGGGAUAACUACUGGAAACGGUAGCUAAUACCGCAUACCAUCAGAUGUGCCCAGAUGGGAUUAGCUAGUAGGUGAGUGAACGGCUCACCUAGGCGACGAUCCCUAGCUGGUCUGAGAGGAUGACCAGCCACCCUGGAACGGAGACACGGUCCAGACUCCUACGGUAGGCAGAAGUGGGGAAUGUUGCACAAUGGGCGCAAGCCUAAUGCAGCCAUGCCGCGUGUGUGAAAAAGGCCUUCGGGUUGUAAAGCACUUUCAGCGAGGAGGCGUUACUCGCAGAAGAAGCACCGGCUAACUCCGUGCCAGCCGCCGCGGUAAUUC
rnacentral:rRNA from 1 species